ACUACGGGUGGCAGCAGUGAGGAAUAUUGGUCAAUGGGCGGAAGCCUGAACCAGCCAAGUAGCGUGCAGGAUAACGGCCCUACGGGUUGUAAACUGCUUUUAUACGGGAAUAACGCGCCUUACGUGUAGGGCUUUGCAUGUACCGUAUGAAUAAGGACCGGCUAAUUCCGUGCCAGCAGCCGCGGUAAUACGGAGGGUCCGGGCGUUAUCCGGAUUUAUUGGGUUUAAAGGGAGCGUAGGCCGCAUGUCAAGCGUGCUGUGAAAUGUCCGGGCUCAAGCCGGGCAUUGCAGCGUGAACUGGCGUGCUUGAGUCCGCGGAAGGCAGGCGGAAUUCGUCGUGUAGCGGUGAAAUGCUUAGAUAUGACGAAGAACCCCGAUUGCGAAGGCAUCUUGCUGCAGCGGAACUGACGCUGAUGCUCGAAAGCGCGGGUAUCGAACAGGAUUAGAUACCCCUGUAGUC
rnacentral:rRNA from 1 species